GUGACAGAUAUCGAAAGCAAGAACGCUGUUUAUACUAAUAGGACGGGAACGAAUACAACAUACACUUACGGCACUACAUUCGCUUACAAAUGCAAAACUGGAUAUGAGUUUCACAGUGAUUCAGCGGACAAUGAACAAAAGACAAUAACGUGCGGGAAUAACCGUAAAUUUGGAACUGCCAAUUCAUGUGCGAUCAAAGUCUGUCCAGUGACAGAUAUCGAAAGCAAGAACGCUG
rnacentral:lncRNA from 1 species